CAACUGCACUCCAGCCUGGGCAAGAGAGCAAGUCCCUAUCUCAACAACAACAAAAAAAAAAAGUUGGCCAUCCUAACGUGGAGCCUGAAGACGGGACUGAACUGCUGCCAUCUCAGGAUAAAACUCUAACAGAAUCUACUCCAGGCAAAGAUGUUGUGAACUGUGUUGAAAUGACAAGGAAUGAGAACAUUAUAUAAACUUAGUUGAUACAGCA